AAUAAAAAUAAAAAUAAAUAAAGAAGCUUAAAGUUUAAACUUAAAAAGAAUAUUUGGGUUUGAUGGGUAUACAGUAAUAUAAAAACUAGCAUGUAGUGAGUAGUUAAAAUAUAAUUAGAACCAUAUUUUUGUGAAAAAAUUAAGUAUGCCUUUGAAAAGGCAGUUUGCUCUUUUAAUUAUUAUUAAGCUGCUGUGGCCCAACAUUUCUUACAUUUAUUAAAUUCAUUAACUGAAGAAGGGCCUCUCUUGUUAAGCAAUUCUGGAAAGACUGUAAAUCCUCCGCAAACAAUAAUAGCUAGAGGAAGAACAAACACAAACCUUUUUGUGAACCCAAUAAAACACUGAGCUCAUUGGGCCUCCAAAGUUCAGAAUUAUUUAAAGGCUCAUCCAUGAAGAAAUGAGUCAGGAGCUUCUGCUAGGUCUGAAAAGCUUACAGUAUGAUCUGACAGCAGUAGAGUUGCUGAUAAAACGACCACUAUUUCAUCAGGCAAUACAUUAAAGUUUUGACAAGUAAUUGAAAAUUGAAUAUGAGAGAGAGAGAGAGAGAGAGAGAGAGAGAGAGAGAGAGAGAGAGAGAGAGAGAGAGAGAGAGAGAGAGAGAGAGAGAAAGAGAGAGAGAGAGAAUUAAAUUUCUAGCAGUACCCUGUGAAUACCUCCUUGAAGUGGCUCAUUCUUAUUUUAAUUGGACAUCAACUGAGUAUUGGCUUGUGAGAAAUAAUAAAGUGAUCUGAAAGCCAGAAAGAAAAAUUUCUCAGACAUCAGUUGUAUAGUAGGUCUGUCUAUUAAUACAGGUUCAACAUGAAAGCCCCUGACCCCUCCCCCAAACUUUAUUUGUAGUUCAAAGCAAUGCAAUGUAGCCUUCAGUACAUAAAAGAUCAACUUCUGGCUAGAGUAACUCACUUCUUCAAAUAAAUGGGCUUACACUAUAAAAGGUAUAAACCAUGUCCUGGCAUAAAUAGUAUAAAUCUCAGUUUACCCCACAUUAUAAAUUUAAUAAAAUAGUUACAAAACAAAGAGAAAUUUAAAGAAAUAGAAACAUUGCCAAGAGUCUAAACACAUUAAAUUGUACUUGGAGAUAAUAUCAGAAGUUGGACUAUUCAUUAAGGUGACUAAUGGGAAAACAUGGGGGAGUGGGGAUAGGAAACAAUGGGAGUGGGAAGAAAGGGAGGAAGAGAGACUAUCAAAAGAAUAAGAGGAGAAGGAAGAGGAAGAAGAGGAAAAAGAGGAAGAAAAAAGGAGAAGGAAAAGGGGGAAACAAACACAUAAAGAAAAAUUCAAGAAGUAUCUGUCAAGAACUCCUGGACAGUGUCAAACCACUAAAGCUAUGUGGUGGUUUCAAUAUGGUUGGGUCAAGGAACUGCACUAUUAAGAGAUGUGGCCUUGUUGGAGUAGGCGUGGCCUUGUUGGAAGAAGUGUGUCAUUGUCUGGGUGGGAUUGGAGAACCUCCUCCUAGCUCUUGAAGGAUGGUAGUCUUGCCUUUUUUGACUUCACAACAAGAUGCAGAACUCUCAGUUCUUCUUGUUCCAUGCCUUCCUGGAUGCUGCCACGCUCCCAUAUUAAUGAUAAUGGACUGAACCUCUGAACCUAUGAGUCAACCUCGAUUAAAUGUUUUUUAUAAGAGUUUCCUUGGUCAUUGUGUCUCUUCAUAGCAUUAGAAGCCAUAACUAAAACAACCUACAGUUGAAUUUCCAGAGAAAGAAGAGAGAGAAUAAGGAGGAAACCCUGAAGAGGAAGAAGGAAUUUCUUUAAAGAAACAGGAAAUAGUCUGGCCUUUUUCAAGUUCUGCAAGAUAAUAAUCAAACCAUAA